UCUCUUACUGACGCUAAAGCUCGAAGGUGCGGGUAUCGAACAGGAUUAGAUACCCUGGUAGUCCGCACGGUAAACGAUGGAUGCCCGCUGUUGGCGAUAUAAUGUCAGCGGCCAAGCGAAAGCGUUAAGCAUCCCACCUGGGGAGUACGCCGGCAACGGUGAAACCCAAAGGAAUUGACGGGGGCCCGCACAAGCGGAGGAACAUGUGGUUUAAUUCGAUGAUACGCGAGGAACCUUACCCGGGCUUGAACUGCCAGCGAACGAUACAGAGAUGUUGAGGCCCUUCGGGGCGCUGGUGGAGGUGCUGCAUGGUUGUCGUCAGCUCGUGCCGUGAGGUGUCGGCUUAAGUGCCAUAACGAGCGCAACCCCUUUCGUCAGUUGCCAUCAGGUAAUGCUGGGCACUCUGGCGACACUGCCACCGUAAGGUGUGAGGAAGGUGGGGAUGACGUCAAAUCAGCACGGCCCUUACGUCCGGGGCUACACACGUGUUACAAUGGGAGGUACAGAGAGCCGGCCGCCUGCAAAAGUGGUCCAAUCAAAAAAGCCUUCCUCAGUUCGGAUUGGGGUCUGCAACCCGACCCCAUGAAGCUGGAUUCGCUAG
rnacentral:rRNA from 1 species